AGCUCCAAUAGCAUAUAUUAAAGUUGUUGCAGUUAAAAAGCUCGUAGUUGGAUUUGAGGGUGUGAUGAACUUGGGCCGCCGAAUUGGUGUGUCUGGGUGCGUCCAUCCUUUCUUUGUAAGAUACUCCCGGCUUCUCUUAAUUGAGUGGUCGGAACAGACCGUGCGUUUGUUCAUGCGGUCCGGGUUCUUACUAGUUUACUUUGAGGAAAUUACGGUGUUCAAGGCAAUCGUUUGAUUGAAUACUACAGCAUGGGAUAAUAGAAGAGGACUUUGGUUCUAUUUUGUUGGUUGACUAGACCGGAGUAAUGAUAAAUAGGAACAGUUGGGGGCGUUCGUAUUUACCCGUCAGAGGUGAAAUUCUAGGAUCGGGGAAAGACGAACUUCUGCGAAAGCAUUCGUCAAGGAUGUCUUCAUUG
rnacentral:rRNA from 1 species